CAUGUCAAAAUAGUGGAGAUUUGUUAUUAAAUUCGUAACAGGCUUUUUCAUCGAGUUUUAAGCUUUGGUACGAAAGCUGUUAUGCUUCGAACUGUUGAUUUUAAACAUCUGAUGUAGCAGAGUAAUGUGAAGAUAAUCAAGGACAUCAAAACGUCAAUUAAUCCGGUUGUAUUUAAAGGAUGAUGGUUCUUUGCAGAAAACAUUUAGUUUAAGCCAAAAGUGAUUAUUUAUUAGGUUAUCAAAGAACAGUGAUUUUUUGUCCGUUUUAUCGGGCCGUGAGUUAACAGAUCGUAAAACUGAUCUGAAUGCAAAGUGAUUAUAUAUUAGGUUAUCCAAUUGUCAACCGGCAUACUUUCGGUUUUUUCUGGUCCCGUUGUUUGGGCUCAUGAGGUAACAAAUCGUAAAAUUGGUGAGCAUCCUUCGGGAGAACAUGCUUAAGUUCUUGAAGAUCUUUAAACUUGUUAGAACUUAUUGGCAAUCGGGCGCGGUACAGCUUCUGAGGAUGACACAUAACAGCGUAGCUUGACUUGUGAGGAAGAAGUUUGAACUCGCCGGCGAAUGACAGUUUAUACCAAAUUUUGCCGUCGCUGCCGUAUUUCAAAACUCGAAGGUUUGUCACGCAAGGAUCACCAACACCAGUUCCUGUGAUUGAAACAAAUUAUUGAUGGAACAUCUUUUAUGCGAGUUGUUUACCUGGUCGAAUGCUGCUAUACUUCAUCACGUUCGGGUCAUCAUAAUUGAGGAAGAAGUCAUGAGUUAAACUUUUCACGUCCAAUGGAAAUGGAUUUGUUCGAGCUACUCGGAUUGAUUCAACAAAAUCAGAAGGAUCUUUCUUUUUGCGGGUACUACCGCUGCUGACAACAGUUUCUUUGCUGUUAGAUCCACUCGGAGACGGCAAAGAAAAACUUUGAUUCGAUUGUAUAUCAAAAAAUGGAUCGAUAUUCGAAUCAAAGGGACAUGGAUCUUCUUCCACAGAAUCAACAUCAACUUGGGCGAACAAAGCUGCGUUUUGUUUUUUGAUUUUAUUCAUGUUUUUGGGCAUUAUGGACGAAUGAAAAUAUUUGUUUAGAAGUGAAAUUCGUAAUAAUUAAAAAGUCGCUCAGUCGCUAAUUUGAAGUAUGAUCACUGCCUACUAAAUUCAAUUUAGAAAAUCUAGAAAAAAGUUAAGGCCUGUAAAGGUUUUGCCA